GGUUGUGCCCUUGAGGCGUGGCUUCCGGNAGCUAACGCGUAAAUCGACCGCCUGGGAGUACGGCCGCAAGGUNAAAACUCAAAUGAAUUGACGGGGCCCCGCACAAGCGGUGGAGCAUGUGGUUUAAUUCGAUGCAACGCGAAGAACCUUACCUACUCUUGACAUCCAGAGAACUUUCCAGAGAUGGAUUGGUGCCUUCGGGAACUCUGAGACAGGUGCUGCAUGGCUGUCGUCAGCUCGUGUUGUGAAAUGUUGGGUUAAGUCCCGCAACGAGCGCAACCCUUAUCCUUUGUUGCCAGCGGUUCGGCCGGGAACUCAAAGGAGACUGCCAGUGAUAAACUGGAGGAAGGUGGGGAUGACGUCAAGUCAUCAUGGCCCUUACGAGUAGGGCUACACACGUGCUACAAUGGCAUAUACAAAGAGAAGCGACCUCGCGAGAGCAAGCGGACCUCAUAAAGUAUGUCGUAGUCCGGAUUGGAGUCUGCAACUCGACUCCAUGAAGUCGGAAUCGCUAGUAAUCGUAGAUCAGAAUGCUACGGUGAAUACGUUCCCGGGCCUUGUACACACCGCCCGUCACACCAUGGGAGUGGGUUGCAAAAGAAGUAGGUAGCUUAACCUUCGGGAGGGCGCU
rnacentral:rRNA from 1 species